GGGGGGGGGGGGUUGGGGGGUUUGAAACUAAGGCAAGGCAGGGACAUUUUCUGAAGAAGCAAAGCAAGGGGCUCAUUUUUCAGCCUGAGGGUCGUGUUUCCCCAGGGGUAACCUUACAGGGGCCAAAUGCUUGUGGUGAGCAGGGCCAGAGGCAAAAAGGAGGUGUUGCCAGUGUUAUAAGGGGGGGAAAAACUCCUUUUCCCUUAUGGGGUAUCCAAGAGCCCGUACAGUGGUACCUCAGGUUACAGACGCUUCAGGUUACAGACUCCACUAACCCAGAAAUAGUACCUCAGGUUAAGAACUUUACCUCAGGAUGAGAACAGAAAUCACACAGCAGCAGUGAGAGGCCCCAUUAACUAAAUUGGUACCUCAGGUUAAGAAUGGUUUCAGGUUAAGAACGGACCUCCAGAACGAAUUAAGUUCUUAACCAGAGUUACCACUGUAUAGAGUCCUUAAGUGGGUUCCCUAUUGGUAGGAGAAAAUAACAGAGGCCAGCCAGAGAAUAUUGAGAAGCAAAGCAGCUAGUAAGCCUGAUCUUUAAUGCAAUAGAAAAGUACUGUUGCAACAGGGUCCCCACUCCCCACACACAGGAGGGAGAGAACCCAGAUCAGUGGUGCACAAGCCCUUACAUAGACUUUGGAAAGUGCCCCCCUGUAGCUCAAGACCACCCCGAAAAACAUCAUACAUACAUCACAGAAGGAGGCAGUCUACAGCAGAAAUGCAUCACAGGAGGCGGUCUACAGCAGAAAUCCUGUCUGCCAGGACACCUGAUACCGGUCACUGACUGCUUUACCUGGGCAGUCUGGCCAUUCUUUUGUGAUGGUUAAUAGUUUAGUUCCUGAAUCCAGGUCACAGACUCACCCUAUUCAUACACAAAUAAGCCCUUGAGACAGGAUUUGUAAGCAAACAACAAUGGGGAGGCUUUCCUAUUUCCUUUCUCCUUGCAGAGAAAUAUUUGAGGUCACUGGGAGAGUCAAAAUGGCGUUAGGAUUGCUCUCCUGUACUAUUUCAGACACGUGGUUUAUAUACUUAUGUAUGUGUUUGCCUUGUACAUUUAUGAACAUUUAAUUUAUAUCUGAGACCUUAGAAUUCUUAUAACACCAGAGGCAAAAGUGAGCAGAGAAACGGAUGCAACUCUGACCUUUGUACCAAAGUCAACAUUCCAGUUACACAAAAGCAGUAAGUUUCUAUGCACACCCUACACAUAUCUCGCUAUACAGGAAACCCAGAGGCAUUGUCACAGUCGAACACUUUCUAGCUAGGCAAAAGUGCCUCAGGGAUGUGUAGGCAUGAUCCCGUGAGUGGCUGUGGCCUGAGGAGGCUGUUCUCAGGCUUUGCUGAAUUGGCUUUAUCCUGUGAGCUGGUCUUCUGUGUUUUAUUUUGCCCUUAUAUGGCUUUAUGCUGGGAAGCAGUCUAUAAAUUUGUACACAAUUAAUAUGAAAAAUAAACAGAGAGGCCUAGAGGGCUACACUGGGCCCUCAGGUUUGAGGCGUCUUACCCCUGCCAUAAAGGUCCCCUUGAAGACGAUGCAAAAUAUGCCCUCAGAGGAAGGGAUUGCCACCAUGUGGUUAAAGCACAUUUAUACUACUAUAGCAGUCAUGGCUGGGAACUGUAGAUUAAGGGUGCUGGGGGUUGUAGCUCUGUGAGGUGUAAACUACAGGACCCGAGAUCCUUGAGGGGGAAAUUAUGACUGUCAAAGUUUUAAAUGUAUGGUGUGGAUGUGGCUGAUACCAAAGGAGUGGCACAUAACAAGCCACGUCCCUUUUUUCUCUCUAGUUUGUAGUACUGUAGUAAAUAUAAUUUAGGCUGUGUACAUGCCAUAAAUCCAUUUAAUUAUUAGAUUUAUAUUUUCCUCCUUCCCUCUCAAAGGAGCCCAGGGCCGCCAACUGAUCCACAAUUCCAAAGCGAAAACAUUCUAAAACAAUUACAUUUAAAGGCAUUAAAAACAGUGACCGCUAUUCCUUCUGGCAAUCCCGGGAUUGCCAGGAAACCAAAUUCUUCAGUUACCAUAUGCCUAGGUAAAUUUAAAGAGCACUGCCUCAAAAGAAUUGUGGGAACUAUAGUUUGUUCCUCACAAUUCCCAGCACGCUUAGAGAGAGCUACAGUUCCCAGGGUUCUUUGUGAGGGUGGAUGGGGAUGUACUUUAUUUUGGUUCUUCAAGUUGUGUUUGGAACAUACCAAAUAUAUGAAGGGGCACUAUUAAAAAGGUGUGGCUGAAGAGAAGAUGGCUGCAGGGCCAAGGAUGUUUAUUAUCAUUAUUAUUAUUAUUAUUACUGCUGCUGCUACUAAAUUUAUUACCCACCCUUCACAAGCAGGUCCCAAGGCGGGUAACAACAAUAUAAAAUUCAGAAUUAAAACCAGUUAAAAUAGAAUUGUCAAUAUUUUUUCUCCCUACACAUGGCCCUCAUUUGAUGGCUAACAUAAAACGUGACAGAAGAAUCACUAGGCUGAGAAGCAGGGCUGGCCCAAAACAUUUUGCUGCCUGAAGACAAAAUGGAACACACACCCCCACACACACACCCCUAAAGAGGCUGACUGGAGCAGCAGCUGCAGCUUUACCACACCUGAAUGCAGUAAGCUAGCUUAGGGCAGGGACUCAUCCCUGACCAUUGGCCAUGCUGGCUGGGGCUGAUGGGAACUGGGAGUCCAGCAACUUUUUGAGGGUACCAUGUUGGCUACUUCUGGCUAAAGAGAUGCAGGGCAAGGCACUGUGGCACAUGCCCCUCCCAACACCUCGCUGCCAUUCCCCGUCCCCAGCACUUGCCAUUUUAGGCAGCCACCUCACAACCACAGUUGUCUACAUAUGACAAUGAACACACCCACAAGCUGCCUCUGUACAUGUGCAAGUAGUUGUGUGAAAGGGUGCACGCCUGUUCGUUUGUACCACUCGGUUGUUGUGUACAUUUGGUGAGAGUUACAUGUGAAGAUGGUACAGGCUCAAUUAUUUGCAGAUUGUACACUGAUUGUGAACUAACAGUCGAUUCCUCAACUGUUAAUAAACUGCAGAGAGAAAUCAACUGUCAGGAUAAGCUGAGCUGGGCUACCUUUCAGCAAACUACAGAAGAGAAAAUGGGAAUCCUCACAUGAACACACCCUGCAACAUUUUUUGAAGCUCCAGAUAGUCAAGGCAAGAAUAACAAGAAACACCUUCAAGUCACUCUCAGACAUGUUCUAGACUAGCUGAACCUACUCUGAAGGCAAACAGAGUAGCACUUCCUGGGUGCUGAGUUAUCAGCUGGAUGGGUGCCAGGGCCAUCUUGCUCCUUGAGGUGAUGGGGCUGGUGUGGAAUGCGUCCAGACUUAAACCUGAAUUUGUCACACGCCUGAAAUAGAUUUCCAGCAACACAUUUAGCACCACAUGUAGCUACACCCCAAUAACAGCAAAAGAGGAGGUGGUUCCACCCACAAACUUCUCCAGGUUUCCGAUAUAGUCAUCUUAAAAUCUUAUUUACUUGAUUUGAAGGGAGGAGGACCCAUGACUCAGCUCUCCCACUGCUUUGUCUGCCGGCUUACAAUCCCAGUUUCUGACUCUGACCACAGACCUCAAGUCACACAGACACCAUACCUUUAAAGCACAUCCCUCCCGCUCUCUGAAUCCUGGGAACCAGGGCUGACCCAAUAUAUUUUGCCACCUGAGGCAAAUCAACUGUGGCAGCAGGCAAGCCCCCUGCCCAGAUCUGGGUGCAGCUGAGCUGGUGGCCAAGAGUGGGAGAAGGGGCAGCAGCUGGGAUACUGAGAAUUGCGAGGAGGUCUAUAUUCCCUUCACAGACCUACAACUGUCAGUUUCCUGUAAGGAAGGAUUGAUUGGUACACCAGUCCUAGAACUGUAGCUCUGUGGGAUGAAUAGGGGCCUCCUAACAACUCUUAGCAUCCUUAACAAACUGCAGCCCCCAUAAUUCUUUGUGGGGAAGCCACGACUGUUUAAAGUGGUAUCAUAGCACUUUAAUUGUAUGGUGUGGGAAUGGCCUGGGCCUUUCAGAAGUGCAACACAUUUGUGUAUGGUUCCUGAGGCAAAGAAACUUUUGCACUAGGAUUACUCAAACUCGGUCACAGGGUCAGAUCUCUGUCGAAGCUUGUUGGUUCAUACCUACUUUUCCACUUCCUGGGCAGCUUGCCAUGACAUAUCAGCCCCAGACCAGAAAGUUUUCCAAAAUUGCUACAUUAUUCGGUGGCACUUCCUGCUUGCUGUUUGCCUAGGUUGCAGGACCAGAGAGGUGCAGAAAACGAAAGGUUAAGAGCUUAUUGUUGGAAGGUUAAGACCAAAUACUGGAAAAACAGAAAGAAAGGGGGGGGGGAACAAUAAGGAGAGUGGGAAAGCAAACAAGGAAAAAACCCUUAAAAUGCAAAGCAGAAAGGGGAGAUGGGGAUGGGGAAACUUACUUGUUUCCAAACAUCAGGAUUUAGCAUUAUGUUGAAUAUCCUUAGUAUGUAAUCCAGACAGCUGUGCAGUUAAGCAAUUUGGACUUUGGACUUAAUCAUCUUGGGGAGAGGCUCUUUACUUACGGCGGGUGCCUUUAAAUGUUAACAUGUACUACUUCACUCACUUCAACUGAUUUUGAACCAUCAAAAAAAUAGCCCAAAAGGAGGAUGUGUUCCGACUGUGUUGGGUCUGGCAUUAUUCUUAUUUCAAGCUGCUGGCAAUCUUUUCAUCCUGACAGUGGUGCUUUCCGAGUUUUGUGGUUGGUCACAAAUUAUUUGAAGGGGCCAGUGGAAUGUUUAAACUAAUUGACUGUUAUGAAGGAAGGAACAGGACUUUGGUUGAGGAGGCAAGGAAAGCUGGAUUUCACAGAUAUGAUCUAACAUACAACCACUCUAGUGGGUUAGCAGAAGUUGAAAAGUUGGGUACUGUGAAGUUGUUCACUCUCCCUCAUUCUUAGCUUCCUGCUUGAAAUUUGGGCACCAAAAUUUGGCACCAAAAUGAGCAUGACACCCCACCCUACUUUGAGGUCCCUCAGACAUCUGUGGGAUUCUUUGAAGUCAUUCCUCAUUGUUGCCAAAUUUUGACUUGAUGACGUAUUCUGCUAGGCCAAGUUCUUAGAAAGUGAAAGGAUUUCCUUCUGCUUUUCACACGUUCAGACAGAUCACUGCAGAAAUCACAUUUUCCUAACCUCGGUUUUGACAAGCACAUCAGCUUGACUUAGCUUCAACAGGCUGGGCCAAGGGAAGGAAAGUCUUGAGUUGCAAAAUGUUGAGAAGCAUCUGAAGCUACCAAGAAAAAGGACUGAACUUCUCAAGAGGAGAGCUUGGUUGCCCCACAAACCAACAUUGCUUUCAGUUUGGGUCAACAGGUCAACCAGACAAGCUUACAACUCUGACCAUGAAUUUGGAUAAAAAAAGCAGUUUUGGAAAAUGUGUAAGUUUCACACUGGCUUGGAAUACUCCUUAGUUAUCCAUUUCUAUUUGUGUUGACUAUUUGUCCCAACUUCAUGAAAUCUUGUACAGAGAGUCUGCACAAUGACAGCUGUAAGAUGGUAAAAUUUUAAAAUGUUUGGAUUUUGAAUGAGACAAGACAUUUAAAGAGUUUUUGCUUGCAACUGUCACCUGUUUCUCCUCAGUUUGUGUG
rnacentral:lncRNA from 1 species